AUACGUAGGGGGCGAGCGUUGUCCGGAAUGAUUGGGCGUAAAGGGCGCGUAGGCGGCCGCUUAAGUCUGGAGUGAAAGUCCUGUUUUCAAGAUGGGAAUUGCUUUGGAUACUGGGGGGCUUGAGUGCAGGAGAGGUUAUCGGAAUUCCCGGUGUAGCGGUGAAAUGCGUAGAGAUCGGGAGGAACACCAGUGGCGAAGGCGGGUAACUGGACUGCAACUGACGCUGAGGCGCGAAAGUGUGGGGAGCAAACAGGAUUAGAUACCCUGGUAGUCCACACUGUAAACGAUGAAUGCUAGGUGUAAGAGGUAUCGACCCCUUCUGUGCCGCAGUAAACACAGUAAGCAUUCCGCCUGGGGAGUACGGUCGCAAGAUUAAAACUCAAAUGAAUUGACGGGG
rnacentral:rRNA from 1 species